rnacentral:tRNA from 1 species
GGUGGUACAACUCAGUGGUAGAGCGCAUGCUUGGGUGGACAAGGUCCUGGGUUCAAUCCCCAGUACUUCCA